GGCUCAGAUUGAACGCUGGCGGCAGGCCUAACACAUGCAAGUCGAGCGGCAGCGGGAAAGUAGCUUGCUACUUUUGCCGGCGAGCGGCGGACGGGUGAGUAAUGCCUGGGGAUCUGCCCAGUCGAGGGGGAUAACAGUUGGAAACGACUGCUAAUACCGCAUACGCCCUACGGGGGAAAGGAGGGGACCUUCGGGCCUUUCGCGAUUGGAUGAACCCAGGUGGGAUUAGCUAGUUGGUGGGGUAAUGGCUCACCAAGGCGACGAUCCCUAGCUGGUCUGAGAGGAUGAUCAGCCACACUGGAACUGAGACACGGUCCAGACUCCUACGGGAGGCAGCAGUGGGGAAUAUUGCACAAUGGGGGAAACCCUGAUGCAGCCAUGCCGCGUGUGUGAAGAAGGCCUUCGGGUUGUAAAGCACUUUCAGCGAGGAGGAAAGGUUGGCGCCUAAUACGUGUCAACUGUGACGUUACUCGCAGAAGAAGCACGGCUAA
rnacentral:rRNA from 1 species